rnacentral:rRNA from 1 species
CCUGGCUCAGAUUGAACGCUGGCGGCAUGCUUACACAUGCAAGUCGAACGGUAACAGGGAGCUUGCUCCGCUGACGAGUGGCGAACGGGUGAGUAAUGCAUCGGAACAUGCCCAGUCAGUGGGGGAUAACUACGCGAAAGCGUAGCUAAUACCGCAUACGCCCUGGAGGGGGAAAGUGGGGGGUCUUAGGACCUCACGUGAUUGGAGUGGCCGAUGUCAGAUUAGCUAGUUGGUGAGGUAAAGGCUCACCAAGGCGACGAUCUGUAGCGGGUCUAAGAGGAUGAUCCGCCACACUGGGACUGAGACACGGCCCAGACUCCUACGGGAGGCAGCAGUGGGGAAUUUUGGACAAUGGGCGCAAGCCUGAUCCAGCCAUGCCGCGUGAGUGAAGAAGGCCUUCGGGUUAUAAAGCUCUUUCGCAAGGGAAGAAAACGGCAAGGUUAAUACCUUUGUCGGCUGACGGUACCUUGACAAGAAGCACCGGCUAACUACGUG